rnacentral:lncRNA from 1 species
GGCCAUAUGACCAUGAGUAUUAGUGAAAAUCUGCAACUGACAGGAUGAAGAAAGGGGCUAUCUCUAAGAUGUGACAGGGACCUGGGAAAGGGAGAUAACCAAGAAUCAAUGGAGGUGACCUUAGCUUUGACUCAUAGCACUGGGGAGGUGGAACCUGAAGAGAUCACUUCAUGUAGCCAGGUAGGAAUCUCAGUGGAGAGGUAAGGACCAAGCCUCCCACAAAACUUUUACCCUAAAUUAUCCUGUCUACAAGAACUACAGAAUCAGGGGAAGGAGUGGAGACUGAGGGAAUGGCCAACCAAUAACCAGCCCAACUUGAGACUCAUCUCAUGGGCAAGCACCAAUCCCUCUGUUCUUCUUGCAGGCAGGACUUUAGCAUGGCUGUCUUCUGAGAGGCUCCACCCACCAACUGAUUCAGAGAUAUGCACCCACAGCCAAACAAUGGAUGGAGCUUUGGAACUCUUAUGGAAUAAUAGGAGGAAGGAUUGCAGGUCCCAGAUCAGGAUAUGAACUUCCCAGGAAGAAUGAUUGAGUUAAUUAAUCUGGACUCUUGGGGCUCUCAGAGUCUGAACCACCAACCAAAGAACAUACACCUGCUGAACCUAGGCCUCUUGGCAUAGAAUCCCUGAACAUAUCAAGAAGAUGAGCACUGAGGAGAAGCGAGGCUCCCAUGAACCACUUUAUGAUAAAAAUGGUCCCCAAUCCCAUGUUGCAUCAUUAAGUGCUAUUAGCAGUAUUUUAUCAUCAUUGUUGUAUAUGAACUUUGUAUUGAAUUCUUCCACGAGUGGUUUUAAUUCUAUCUUAAAAGUUCAGGACAUUCCUAGUAUAUAAAAUACAACUUGUAUUUGUCUGCUGUCGCCUUUAUGAUGCAUGGUUCUGAUAGCUAUUGCCAUACCUUUAAAAGUCAUAAGCACUGCAUGCUUUCUAUGACUAUUGUCCCAUAAACUGUGAAUAGACAGUUUUCAUCUAUGUUUACCCGUCUCUGCCUUUUCUCUUCCUCUUUCACUGGCUAGGAAUGCUACGCUAUGCCUGACAGAAGUGUCGAGACCAGGA